AUGGCCUGGGCUCUGCUCCUCCUCACGCUCCUCACUCAGGGCUCAGGGUCCUGGGCCCAGUCUCCCCUGACUCAGCCUUCCUCCGUGUCUGACUCACUUGGAAAGUCGGUCACCAUCUCCUGUGCUGGAAGCAGCAAUGACAUUGGGCGUUAUAAUUAUGUCUCCUGGUACCAACAGCGCCCGGGCGCAGCCCCCAAACUCCUGAUUCACCAUGUAAAUACUCGGCCCUCAGGGAUCCCUGAGCGCUUCUCUGGCUUCAAGUCUGGCAACACGGCCACCCUGAUCAUCUCUGGGCUCCAGGGUGACGACGAGGCUGAUUAUCACUGUUUCUCAUACGUGGGCAGUAACACUUACCACAGUG